rfam:Triticum aestivum genome assembly, contig: Triticum_aestivum_CS42_TGACv1_scaffold_221125_3B
UAGCUACUCCCUCCGUCCGAAAACACUUGUUAUCAAAAUAAAUAAAAAAAGAUGUAUUUUGACGUAUUUUACUUUUAGAUACAUCUUUUUCUAUCCAUUUUGAUGAUAAUUAUUUCCGGACGGAGGAAGUAGUUA